UUUAUGGAGAGUUUGAUCCUGGCUCAGGAUGAACGCUGGCGGCGUGCCUAAUACAUGCAAGUCGAGCGAACGGACGAGAAGCUUGCUUCUCUGAUGUUAGCGGCGGACGGGUGAGUAACACGUGGAUAACCCACCUAUAAGACUGGGAUAACUUCGGGAAACCG
rnacentral:rRNA from 1 species